rnacentral:rRNA from 1 species
AUUGAACGCUGGCGGCAGGCCUAACACAUGCAAGUCGAGCGGAUGAAGGGAGCUUGCUCCUGAAUUCAGCGGCGGACGGGUGAGUAAUGCCUAGGAAUCUGCCUGGUAGUGGGGGAUAACGUCCGGAAACGGGCGCUAAUACCGCAUACGUCCUGAGGGAGAAAGUGGGGGAUCUUCGGACCUCACGCUAUCAGAUGAGCCUAGGUCGGAUUAGCUAGUUGGUGGGGUAAAGGCCUACCAAGGCGACGAUCCGUAACUGGUCUGAGAGGAUGAUCAGUCACACUGGAACUGAGACACGGUCCAGACUCCUACGGGAGGCAGCAGUGGGGAAUAUUGGACAAUGGGCGAAAGCCUGAUCCAGCCAUGCCGCGUGUGUGAAGAAGGUCUUCGGAUUGUAAAGCACUUUAAGUUGGGAGGAAGGGCAGUAAGUUAAUACCUUGCCGUUUUGACGUUACCAACAGAAUAAGCACCGGCUAACUUCGUG